UCAGGAUGAACGCUAGCUACAGGCUAACACAUGCAAGUCGAGGGGCAGCAUGUGGUGCUUGCAACCAAUGAUGGCGACCGGCGCACGGGUGAGUAACGCGUAUCCAACCUUCCCUAUAGUAGAGGAUAGCCCGGCGAAAGUCGGAUUAAUACUCUAUGUUUUCCAAUGCAGACAUCUAAAAUGGAACAAAGGUUCACCGCUAUAGGAUGGGGAUGCGUCUGAUUAGAUAGUCGGCGGGGUAACGGCCCACCGAGUCGACGAUCAGUAGGGGUUCUGAGAGGAAGGUCCCCCCACAUUGGAACUGAGACACGGUCCAAACUCCGUACGGGAGGCAGCAGUGAGGAAUAUUGGUCAAUGGGCGAGAGCCUGAACCAGCCAAGUAGCGUGCAGGAUGACGGCCCUAUGGGUUGUAAACUGCUUUUAUACGAGGGAUAAAGUGACGUACGUGUACGUUUUUGUAGGUACUGUAUGAAUAAGGACCGGCUAAUUCCGUGCCAGCCGCCGC
rnacentral:rRNA from 1 species